AGGUCAGAAUGAUGGUUCAGAAGCAGGUUCUCCCCUUCUCUGAUUCCUCUCCCCACCCACUUACUCACCCACAGAGUGGGCUUUUCACCCACUUCUCCCCACCUAUUUUCUCACUGUUGAGUUUUCCACCUACUUGCUGAAAGAGAGGAAAUAAGUGAACUUAUUAUAGACCUGGAGAGGUCAUAUGGGCCAGUCCCCUGCCUUCAUCAGUCAGCAGUAACUUCGAUUAGACUCUAAAUUCCUGGAAGGCAGGGCCCUCUUCUUGUUUGUCUUUACACUGUAAUUUCAUCAAUGUGGGAAACUCCCUGGUAUAAACAUGGUUGAUGCUUCAUUUUGUCUAAUGAAUAAAUGAAUGUCUAAAUAAUGAACCCAACCAUGUGUGGGCACAGGAGCAGCAAGGUGGGCAGAGGAAACAGUCUAAGGGAGCGAGCUACAUCACUCCCUACCUUUCUGCCUGGAAAAAGCUCUGCUCUUCUCUGAGAUUCAGGUUCCCUUCUGUAAACUGAGAGAGUUAGACCAGGUAUUCAUGAAGGUUCCUGUUCUAAAAUCUAUUCCAUGAGCCAUUAUCCCCACUUUACAGAUCUGAGAAUGGGACGGUGAUUUGGUGAUUUGCUCAAGUUCUCGCAGAGACCGAGGAAGAGGAACCCUGGUCCCCGACACCCGCCUAGUGCCUUUGCCAUUGGAUCAGAAGAGCUCCCUGCUUUCCUUCAUUCAACUCAUGAGCAUCUAUUAAGCACCUACUAUGUACCAGACACUGUUAGAAGCUGGAGAACCAGGCAAAAAUGAGUCCGUUUGCCCUGGAGGAAUUUACAUUCUAUUGUUAAAACAGGGGGCUUUCAUCUUGUGUGAUGGAGAGGCGGUAGACACAAGAAGCAAAGGGACCCAGAAGUCUCUGGACAUGGACAAAGUAGGAAUUGAUUUUUCUUGACUAUGUAUAUCUGUUACAAAGGUUUUGUUCUUUUUUCAGUUUCAUGAAUUAAUGAGGGUUUGUUAUUUAGACACUCAUUUAGUCAUUCAACAAAAGUUUAUUAAGCACCUUCCGUACCUACAUCAGGGCAUCUCUCACACUGCUAGUAUCUUCCUUCCUUUGGGGAAGGAGCAGAGAGAAAAAUUUAUGCUUGUUAAUUGAAAAAAAAAAAAGGAGAGGAAUAAAAUAAAAUAAGGGGAUUGGACUGGACGGCUCUUGAUCUGCGGUUUUAUGAAUGAAUGAUGAACUUGGAGGUGAGACCUGGGUGUGAGCUCAUGCCCUGGUGCUUCUCUAGAUCCAGGCUGGUUGUUUCUGCCCUCUGGUGAUUUUACUCCCCUCAAGCUCUGAAUGAGUCUGAAGGGCCCCUUUACUCUGAUGUUCCCUGCCUCCAGAAUCCUAUGGUCGAAUACCCCAGCAGCCAGGAGCCCAGAGAAAGGCCUCGGGACAUUCGUCUGUCCCUAAUGGACAAGAAUCAAGAGCAGGCAACGUGCUAGGGUCUCCCCCCAAGCCCUGGACUC